AUGAUAUUUUGUCGGUCAAAUGGAAAAAGUUUUGAACAAUUUCGAUAUGAAUGAGCUUCUAUACGGUUAAGAUGAAAUUUUAAAUAAUUUUUAUAUGGAUUUCGUGGUAAACGAAUAAAAAGUGCAAUACGUGUGCCAUGUGUUACCUUU